GGUCACAUGACGUGCUGGCUGCUUUCCUCUGGAGCCCUUGUUUCCUAAAUGAUAGUGGAUGAGAGAUCAAAUCUGUCCCACACAGAAAGCAAAUUUCCAAAGAGGAACACAAUUACUCUCAGCAUCUUUGGCAAUCCCACUGGGUGGUGGUGAGACCUUCCCCCUGAUGAAAGAUCCCAGUGUCAUUCUGAAUGACUUAGUGGUGCUGAACUUGGCAAGGACAAAC
rnacentral:lncRNA from 1 species